UCUGUGAUACUUGCCCUGCUCCUGUUUCUCUCGCUGUUGGAAGCAAGUUGUUGAAGAGGUGCAGCAUUUUUAGUCAGUCUCUUGGUGCUCAUAGAGCCAAAGGUUUUACUGAUUUUUUUUACUGUGUUUUACUUUCCUCCCUGUGCGUGGUCUCCUUUUACAAGCUUGGGAAGCAGAAAUGUUCAGAAACAGCUGGAGCUGCUGGGUGAGAAGAAAACCGAUCAGCAGUUGAUUUGAAUGAGAAUAACAGAGUUGUUGUUGGGAGGUCAAGACUACCGUUUACUGUGCUUUUUCCAAGCUGAAGCUUUAAUGAUAAAACAGCAAUGCGGUAUAGUGUUGCAGGCUGGGAAGAUACCUCUUGAAUGGAAAGCCUGUGUGUCUUGGUGUCAGAUGCUGUACAGAAGAUUGCUGAAGCUGAGCUAGUUGGGUGGUUACCCUCGCAAUUUCCUGAGAGAAAUAAUGUGGUUUCAGUAAAAGUUUAGGACAAAGCCAAAUGGAGUUUCAGAUGGGAGCAAAUGGCGAUUCUUGAACUGUCACCCAUGGCCCACCUUAAGGUCUGGUGAAGCAGGCUUGAUGAUAGAGAUGCAGGCCCUAGAGACAGAUGAAGGCUGAGCCAAAAUAUUUUGCAAGGACUGCAACAGAAAUGACCAGGCAUUUCAGCUGGGAACAGACUUGACCUGCUAUCCUAAACAGAGAGGAACUGUGAUUUUCCUGCAUGGUUGAUGGAAAGCAAAAUCUGCAUGGCAUUCCUGGGGGGACUGGAGGGAGCCACAGCAGCAGUCAGAAGAGAGAAACUCAGAUUUCUCCAUUUACUCCAAAACCAGAGCUAAUUACAGGAAAGGGCAAGGUACAGGUGGAAAGCGUGCUUGCCAUUGCACCCCAGCAAGCCCCGACAUGCUGAGGUGGACAAAGGUCCCAGGCAGGAGCCCAGCAUCACCCUCAGGUCUGCUCCCCAGUGGAGCACUCACAGGUCCCUGGUGACCAGCUGGGAGAGGCUCAAUGAACACCGAUUAGGCAGCCUUCCCGUGCUUCAUCCCUGGGACCAUGGGCAGAGCCUGUGUCUUGGGAAUGGCUGUUGUGCAGAGUUAUUGCAGGGCUUAGAAGUGUUUGCUGUGGCUUGUGCUCCCUGCUGUGCCUGCUGCUGUCAACGAUGAAUAAAGUGAGAUGAUUCCUUCUCUUAAAACAGCGAGCCUUUAUAAUUUGGGGGCUACGUGAUUAAUGGAGCUCUUCCUAUGUUUAUUCCUAGAAGGUCAAACCAUUUGUU